rnacentral:lncRNA from 1 species
UCAAAGUUGCAGCAUCAAGGCACCAUUUCUUCUUCCAUUUUUCUCCAAUACCAAGAGGCAGUGGACCUUGCAUCCACUAGGUAAUGCUAUCACUCUCUUCCAUGGCCAUAUAUCCAUGCUUAUCCUCAUGCUUACCUUGUUCAUUACUUUUUUUCAUGCCAUUCCAUGCUUGCUUUAUGUUGUUAACACUAUGCCAUGCUUGUCUAUGAAGCCCUCAACGUGAGGCAUUGCCAUUAAGUUUGAAUGUGUGAUGUUGUUUUCUACUCAUGCCGUGUUCAUAUGGUCGUCUUGCUGUCCACAUUUCUUUAUGUUCAAGCCAUUAUUUUCACUGAAAUAAAACACCAUGAUGUUCUACUCAUUGCAUACUUGAACUUUG